UGGGGAAUUUUGGACAAUGGGCGAAAGCCUGAUCCAGCAAUGCCGCGUGUGUGAAGAAGGCCUUCGGGUUGUAAAGCACUUUUGUCCGGAAAGAAAUCCUUGGCUCUAAUACAGUCGGGGGAUGACGGUACCGGAAGAAUAAGCACCGGCUAACUACGUGCCAGCAGCCGCGGUAAUACGUAGGGUGCAAGCGUUAAUCGGAAUUACUGGGCGUAAAGCGUGCGCAGGCGGUUUGCUAAGACCGAUGUGAAAUCCCCGGGCUCAACCUGGGAACUGCAUUGGUGACUGGCAGGCUAGAGUAUGGCAGAGGGGGGUAGAAUUCCACGUGUAGCAGUGAAAUGCGUAGAGAUGUGGAGGAAUACCGAUGGCGAAGGCAGCCCCCUGGGCCAAGUACUGACGCUCAUGCACGAAAGCGUGGGGGAGCAAAGCAGGAUUAGAUACCCCUGGUAGUCCACGCCCUAAACGAUGUCAACUAGUUGUUGGGGAUUCAUUUCCUUAGUAACGUAGCUAACGCGUGAAGUUGACCGCCU
rnacentral:rRNA from 1 species